rnacentral:lncRNA from 1 species
UUAUGGAACUCCUAGAUACAGGUGAACCACAAAUUUAAUUGUUCCAUGACUUCUAAUUUACUGCCAAGUUGUAUGCAGACUUUGGUAAAACUACAAAGUCCACAAAAAUUGGAACCAACGAUAAUAAAUUAAUCAACUGUACAAGGAGACAUGAUGAUGUUUUUUUAAAUUCCUGACAUGAAAUUUAACUGAUAUCUUGAAAGUUGAACUUGCUAAAGAUCGAUAUUUAUUUGUACAUUCUGAUAUUCAGAAUAUAUUA